rnacentral:rRNA from 1 species
CCUACGGGACGCAGCAGUGGGGAAUAUUGCACAAUGGGGGAAACCCUGAUGCAGCAACGCCGCGUGAGUGAAGAAGUCAUUCGUGAUGUAAAGCUCUAUCAGCAGGGAAGAAAAUGACGGUACCUGAGAAAGUCACGGCUAACUACGUGCCAGCAGCCGCGGUAAUACGUAGGUGACAAGCGUUGUCCGGAUUUACUGGGUGUAAAGGGCGCGUAGGCGGAUGUGCAAGUCAGUCGUGAAAUACCGGGGCUCAACCCCGGGGCUGCGAUUGAAACUGCACACCUUGAGUAUCGGAGAGGAAAGCG